UGUUUCAUUGGAAAAAAUAAAGAGCAAAAAAUAGUAAAAUUUGCGACGUCUCCGUGUCACAGACCUGGGCAGAUAAUUUUAACUUUUAUUAAAAAAACACGAGUUUUACUCGUGUUUACCCAAAUAACCUGACCCCCAUCCUUUUUUAACACCUAAUUUCAUCCCCCAACCCUUAUUCCCUCAAGAAAUCACCGAAAAAAUACAAAAAAACACUCCCCUUCCCCAAGCCCUAAACUUUUCAACUUCAAAUUCGUAUCGCGAAGUUGGAUUUCUUCCUAAGUUCUUCAAGUGUUUUCAUUCUAAGCACUAAAGGAAACUAGAUUUGGAACUCAUAGACCCGAAAAAGAGCCCGCAUCGGCAAGCAACCAUAAAAGAGUUCGUGGUGGGGCAUAUGUGCUCCCAGCACUGGCAGUGCCAUGAGGUAAAAUGCAUUGCUAUGGCAUAUGAGUGGUCAACACAGCUGGCAAGAAUUGGUACAAGAAACACACGGAGGUAAAAUACUUCUUUGAUGUUUGUAUCGAUGAUGAUAAUCUGAAGAGGGAGUUCCCUCAAAUAAUGAGAUGCAUUCGAGAACUCCACAUGGAGUUUAUAUUUUGUUGACCCGAUGGAGUGCAAUUUGCAUAUUGUGUGCGAGUUUUAUGCCAAUUAGCAACCUGACACACAUUUGCAAUUUGUGAAUAUGCGAGGGGUUGAUGUUCCUCUCACUCCACUAGCAUUGAACAAGCUUCUGGGGACUGCUGAAUCUUUUCCUGCUGUGCUGACCAGCUUAAACAUUCACCCACCUUAUCAGGAAAUCAAGCACACUCAGUAUGGUAGCCGGUCUACGGCUAAGUGUAGAUAUCAUGGGCAUCGAGGUUACCACCAGACUUCUUGCAUGCCCAUAUGAACAGGGAAGCGCGCAUAUGGAUAAACAUUGUAAUGAGCUAUUUGAUCCGAGCUUGCAUCUCACUGAUGUCAUGAGGGAUCGUUUUUGAUUGGUGUAUGCUCUUAUGAAGGGCCUGAAAUCAAUGUGGUAGCUGUGCUGAAGUCUACCAUGCGAAAAGCCAAAGUACAUCAAGGCAGAAGGUAUGCAUUUGGUAGACUGAUCACCAGGUUAUGUCGGAAUACAGGGAUGCCCCAAGAAGUAUUGGUCUAAUGGCUCCUCUUUGCACAGUUGUUGUAGAUGUGACAAAGACUAAGGGCCUAAACACCAUCCAUGGGCCUACCCUCACUAUAGUAGAGCUCCACAGAAGGGAUGAUCUUAUCAUUGCGGCAUGUAUGUGCUGGAGAUGUUACGCUAUAGAAAUGAGUGCUUAACGUCUACCAAGAGAGCAACUGACCGAGGUCGAAAGACAAUAUCCUCUAAAUGAUCAUGCCAUUGCGGUGUUGGGACUGCGCCCUGAUUUCUUCGAACCCACUUAUGAUGAUGUGCUCACUGAUAAGAAUAAAUUGCAUGCUGAGUCCGACAUAGAUUCUAAUUCAGAGGAAGACGUUGACCAACCUCUAACUCUUGAGGACCUCGAAGCUGACGACGACAUGGAGGACUAAUCAGGAAAGUUCCUCACCCUACCUUGUUUGUUUUUUAGCUAUUGAGGUUUAAAGCAUUGGGACAGUGCUAAAGUUUAAGUGUGGGGUGGGGUAUACUUCUCUUUCUAAAUAUGUUUGCUUUUGCUAAUUUUAGUAAUUUUAUUUUGGGUUCCUCGAAAUUUGUUUGCGGUUCUUUGGCCGAGUAUAGUUCCCUUGUACUAUACAAAAAAAAAAGUCAAGUCUUGUAUGUUAGAGUCAGUUAGGAGUCUUAGUUAAAUGAAGUUUUCCUAUGAUAGAUAGAUGACGACCAUCUUAAGGGUACGCUCAUCAAUGUUGUGUCUUGUUUUUGUUUUAAGGUGUUUUGUUAGGCUACACAACUAAGGCAAGUUGAAAUGUGAAAGCAUGAUAUGAAACAUGAUGACUAUGUUUGAGACACCUAAGCUCAAUUUUUGGACUCGAUGUGAUGUAUGCUUAAUUAUGAAUUCACGUUAUUGCUUAGUUGAGAGUCCGUUGAGAACCGUCUUGAUUUAAAUAUAUGCCAUGUAGGUGUGAGGUGUUGUUGUAUUCCAUGCUUACAUGUAGAUGUAUAGAACAUGCCCGGUAUGUUUACAAAGAGAAAUAAAGAUUGUGAGUUUUAGAAAUGAUAUAGGCAAUUCUUUGGUAGCCUUAUUUUGUACCCUCUUUUACCUACCUCGAUAUAUGAUCCUAGUUAACCCCUUUGAGCCUUUAACUUGUUCUUUGGCAGCCUCAUAUAAAGCUUAUCCCUUUUUUUCAUUAUACCAAAUUUGAUCCAAAACUCCUAAGCAUUUUUGAAUUACGAAUAUGUCAAGUAGAAAAGAUCAAAGGGAGGAAAAGAUGAGUGUGAAGUCUCAUUAAAAACUUUUUAUAGGUGCUUGAAACUUAUGUCUGAUUAAUAGGGAGUACACAAAUAAAAACCGAAUGAAAAAAUUAUUAUAAAAGUCAAAAACUCCCUACGAUAGGUAUGUAAGUAGCUUAAAGCGAAGGACUGAAUACAAAAAAUUGGGUACAAUGAAAGAGGUACGAAAUAUAUUAUUGGAAGAGGUUUGUGAGUAAGAAGUACAAUGUAUUAAAGGCUUGGAAACGUUAGUCGCUAAUCAUAGCCAAAAAUAAUCCCUAAAUGCCCCUAGCCUACAUUACAACCCUUUUAAGUCCUAUUUGAUCUUGAACUUACACAGUCUUAUAUUAGUGGAGUAGUACACUAUGAGCAAGCCUAUGGGUCCUCUUGUUUGCAUGAGAAUUCAUUUGGGAGAGUGAACAAAAUUCAAUUCUAACACCUAUUUUACUAAAAUUGUGUGCAUGUGAAUGAUUUUGGGUAAUUCAAUCUUGUGGUGAGGGCAUAUGUUUAAUGAAGAAUAGGUGAUUCAUACGAUCUUUUGAAUGAUUAGUAUGCAUGAGUUUGCUAAAUUUCAGAGUCAAUUUUUGAGGUUAAAAUAUUUGGAACUAAUCAUUUGUGCUGAAUUGAUCUUUAGAACAAGCUUGUUUGAAUACAUGCUAUCUCUGCUAGUCGUUCUAGUCUAUGCUUAAAUGCCUAGUGUUGAGUAGUGUAUCAGAUUUGUCUUGUGUGUAAAUCUGUGGAUUUUUUUGAGGAAGAACAAAGCUUUAAGUAUGGGAUGGUGAUCUUAGGUGUAUUUAUAUGCCAAAUAGCCAAAUAAACCAUGCUUUUAGUUAAUUUCGGGAUCAAAUCCUAAGUGGAAUAUGGUAGUUUAGUUAGGUUUUCUUGUGUUUUCACUAACCAGUGAUUAGGUGUUUGUAGGGUGGAAAUCUUGCAAAAGGAGCUAAAAAGGAUGAAAAUGGAAGUCAAGCUGAAAAUGGAAGCUAAAGGCUUAAUGAUGGAGCAAAGUUGAGGUGAGAUAGUGGAGUCCGCCUUAUGUCCACGUCGUAGACUUGGGAAAUUAGUUUUGACUCCGGAUGAAAUUAUGAGGCAGUGGAGUGCGCGAUAGCUCCACGUAGAAAAAAGAAGAGAGAGUUAAUUUGAACCUGAAGCGAGGGAACAGUACGCAGAACUGGAAGUUGAAAUUUAUCCACACUUUUUUCAAACUCUAUAAAUAGCCAAGUUUUAUUAUUUGUUAAAUUAUUCUUUUUCUAACUCAGUGGAGAAUGUUUUUGAACGACCUAUUCUCAAGAACACUAGGGUUUAUCUCUAUUCUUUCUAUCUUUUGAAUUUUAUGCUUUGUAAUCAAACUAUUGUCAUGAAUCAAAGUAUGAGUAGCUAAAUUCCCUAAUUCUAGGGUUGUGACUACGAGUGAUGGCUUAAUAUUAA